GCCAGGGGUGAUAGCACGUUGAAUGCAACAGUUCCCGAUAGAUCACUGAAGUUAAGCAACACUGUGCGUGGUUAGUAUCCGGAUGGGUGACCGUCUGGGCAAUUGCGGUCUGCUGGCU
rfam:Asian citrus Psyllid, Diaphorina citri - Florida Strain, whole genome shotgun sequence.